CGGUGUGGGACCAUUUCAACUUAAAAAAUGAUGAAGUCCAGUGUGAAUAUUGCGAUGUCGUGUGCAUCCCUGCAACUUCGGUCCCGUCAGAGCGGGUGUUUUCAGCUGCUGGACUGACUCACCAGGCUGCGCUCGCGUCUCACCCCUGAGCAUGUUAACAUGCUAAUAUUCCUCAACAACAAUCACUAGGAGUUACAUUACUUUGUUCGGAGUGGACAGUCACCACCGCAGCCUUUAUAUAUAUGUGUCCAUCAUGCAUUCACCUUGCGGGGCUGUGAUGGAAAGAGCCACAAUGCUCAUGCAUGGCAACUGGUGUGUGAGAAGAAAUGUGGUGUAACCGCUAAAGAACAGUGUGUUUUGGCGGCCUGUACCCGGACCAUCCAGGAACCAUCACUGACCAUGUGACUGAUCUUCCCAAAUGCAUCAUCAACAAGCCGGAUCUCCUCAUUGGAUGAUGGGAUAGGCACAAUGCUGAUUGGACAGACAGAACAA